GGACAUGUAAGGUUACUAACAUAACAAUUACUUUUAAUUAAAGGAAAAUGCCAUUUUUUUCAGUAACGCAUAUAAUCAGUUGAACAACAGGUAAAAUGUAUAUUUGGUGUAAUUUAUGCAUUUUUAUGGAAUUUCCCUGUUCCUAUCAAAAUGUGAUAUUACUGUUAAAUUCUACUGUUUUUUCUCUGUAAAAUACAUUUAUUUUUUACAGUGUAGGAAAAAUAUCAUUAAACUACUCCAUGUGACUCCAGUGGCUUAAAAUCAAUUUUAUGAAGCGACCUGAGUGCUUCAUGUUUAAGUGAAAGUUUGAGGCAAUUUUUUUUUAGAAAAUACUAAAACUGGUAGUUAACAGACUUAACAUAAAGACUAAAUAAGAUUCUCUUGUUCAUCUUAAUGGUAAUGCUAAAAUAACACCUGUCAUGUUCUUCACAACACUGCAGUCUCAUUGGCUGAUCGAUGAUAGAUCUGUCAAAUCACGGCAUUGCCACACCCACCUCAGCCAGCCCUCUAUAAAAGUGUCAUGCUCUGGUAUAGUUUACACACAGCAGCUGUACCUGAAGAACUGGACAGGCUAAGACACAAAAACUACUGAAGAAUCUAGAAGAAUAGGAUACAGAAGACAGAAACUGAGAAAAACCUGAGCAAAGAAACGGUCAUCAGUAAACGGUACACUUUAAGAUUUCCAUCUUAAAACCUUUGAAAAUGGGAAAUAAUAAAUCUGGUGAAGAAAAGGAACGCAAAAGAGCUGAAGAAGCUGAGAAGGGAAAGAAACAAACUGAAGAGGAAAAAAAAGAUAUUGCGGGAGAACUUAAAACAUUAAAACUAGAAAAUGAAUUAGAGAGAUUGAGAGAGGAGAAAAAAUUAGCAGAGGAGCGCAAUAGAAACGAAGCAGAAAAACGAGCACUCCAGGAACAAUAUGACAAAAUACAAAAUGAGAGAAACAUGCAGAGAUUGAAAGAAGAAGAGAAGAAGAAAAUCGACAAGGAGAACAGAUAUAAAGAGGAAGAAGAAAGGAAAAGAAUUCACAUAGAGAAGCAAAAUGCACAAAAAGAGAUGUGAUGGUUAUGGGUUUAUUAAUGGGAAUUAUUUUUUUAUCUCUAUUCAUCAUAUAGAAAGAUCAUCUAGAUGCAUAUCACCUAAAUCAUUUUGUAAAGGUUUAUUUUUCUUCUUCCAUAUGUCUACUUUAAAGCACUUUGUAAACACUUUGUUUUAAAAGAUGCUAUAUAAAUAAAGUUUUACAUCUUAUUUACUGCCUCCAAAGAUGAGUAUGCAUAUCCUUCUUAGAUUUUGAACUUUGCAAGACUUUAAAAAAUAAAAACAUUUUCAGAUUUUUUUUCCCAUAGACAUAGGGAUUGAUCCAAAUCAUAAAAGAAUAGUCACAUUUUAUUAAACGCAAUUUAUUUGCUGCGAAUCAAUGGCUGAAUGACAAUACAAUCCAUUUUAGUUUUCUUUUCCACAAGCUCUAACGUCAUUAUAAUGGAGAACACUAGAAGUAUAGUAUGCACUUCUUCACUUGGUAUAAAUACUUUAGCAUUGAAAAUGAUUGUGGUGUUGUGAAUCAAGUCCACAUUAGAGGCUUUGUAACUACAAGCUAGUUGGUUUGUAACUAACUCUGUACUUUAUUUGGUUGCACUAUUUGUUCUUAAGGCAGAGUGUAGAAGGUUGUAAGCUUUCUGUAAUGUAAUGAAUUGCAUAAUAUGACGUUUACCCUCAAUUAUCCAAUAACAGCCUUUAAAUACGUGAGCAGAAGUUGUUGAAAUUCCGUGCAUUUCAGUUUAUCCUUCAUUAUAACUUCUUUUGCCUUACGUAACUAUGGUAAAAACAAGUUUCUUUUAAAAGACGACACUACUUAAUCAUGAAUAACAUAAUAGGUAUUUUAUAUGUAAAUAAUAAGGGUGUAACGGUUCUUGGUUGCACUCCUAUUAAUUGAACCGUAAAGAAAAAUCGUAUCGUUCUCCACCCACGGUUCGGCAUGCACUUGCACCGCGGUUCAACUUAAAUCUGACGACGCAUCUAUAAUAUGGUUUGUUAAAAAAAUAACAACGCGUAAAACAGACAGACAGAGUUCGGCUAAAAUAUAUCAAAUAUCAAAAAUAUGUGGACAAAACAGUCACUCUUUGUAAACUUUGUUCAAUGUAAGUGCUGUAUGCUUGAAUAUGAGCAAUCAUUUACACCGUCAUUACCUGGGUGAGACAGCACACGUUGCUAUCUGUGUUUAAAGGUGGGGUAAGCAAUAUUUUUAAAAAACACUGCUGGGCAUUGUUGAUAUUUGAAAUAAACCCAAACAAACACCUCUCUCUUCAUUGGUCCGCCUCCAAAACUCACCCUCCAAUCCUAGCCACCCUGCACCGCGGCGGUCUCAUAUCUCGCUCGCCAAGUGCACUAGCAAUGAUGCUAAAUGCCGCAUUCUCUAGCGGUCAUCAGCGUGCAGUGGUUUACCUGCGCAAUGUGAGAGUGGAUGGCUGUGUAUCACAGCUGACAUGCAACAAAAUAAUGCUUUACAAAAAAUAAAGCGCAAAUGAUGAACGAACGACAAGAAAGCACAAAAAAAUUAACGUACAAAACAGAUGUUACAACCACGCUUGCCCCGGACUCCAUUUCCCAUGUUCCUCCCUGUUCAUCACCUGUUUACACUUCCCUCAUCAGCUUUCACGCUCCUCCUGGAUUCCCGGCACCUGUUCCUCAUCAUUAGCACUCCCUUUUAGUUGGACUCACUCCCUGUCGGUUCUUAUUGUUAGUUAAAUGUGUGUAUGGUUGUUCUGUCUCCUUCGCUGUUAAUAAAUACCCUGUUUUGUUGAAGUCUGUGAAUGCCUCGUCUCUACCGCAACCUCACCUUGUAACAGAAUCUAAUCGUAAUCAAUGAAAUGGCAUUUCGUAAUCAAAGCAGCCUCCGCAUCUGUUUUCAGGCCUUCCCACUAACUCUCUCCAGCGCUGGAAAGCAGUCUGCAGUCUUUCUUCAAAUCUCUUGCUCGUUCUCUAUCCUUGACCGUCAUACGCCCCCUAAUGCUGAUUGGCUACACGUUUGUUGUUCUUUGUUUGCUGGUGUGUCAGUCCGACUAACUUCCAAACAACUUAUUUUUGAAAUUUCGCUUACCCCACCUUUAAACUAAUCUCAUUUAAGCCUUGCCAAUUUAAACAUUCAAGAACCAGAAGACGCGAAUAAGAACUCACGCACACUGCGAGAAGAUUUGUGUGCGCUCAUCCGAAGUGCACAAACCCGCGUCUCAGACAGCGCGCAAAUAUUGAGUUCUCUUUCAAGUUUUGUGCUUGAACAGACAAAUUCACACAAAAAUUAUGUCAACAUGUCUGUCUUGGUGAGUAUCAUAGCAGACAUAGUCAGUUGAAUGUGUACUGGAUCCGUGCAUUGUCUUAAAGUGACAGCAUCCUAAUAUUCCUGUGUUUUUAAUGUUAAUAAA